rnacentral:tRNA from 1 species
GAAGGGCUGUGGCUCAGUGGAAGAGCCUCUGCUUCUUAUGCAGAAGGUCCUCCCAGGUUCCAUUCCCAGCAUCUUCA